rnacentral:snRNA from 1 species
AGCUUUGCGCAGAUGAGGUUUAUCUGAGGCACGAUUAUUGCUAAUUGAAAACUUUUCCCAAUACCACAACAUGACGACUUGAAAUAUAGUCAGUAUUGGCAAUUUUUUGACAGUCUACAGGGAC